rnacentral:rRNA from 1 species
UCCGUAGGUGGCGAGCGUUGUCCGGAAUUACUGGGCGUAAAGGGUGCGUAGGCGGCUCCUUAAGUGGGGUGUGAAAUCCCUGGGCUCAACCCAGGAACUGCACUUCAAACUGGGGAGCUAGAGUGCAGGAGAGGAAAGCGGAAUUCCCGGUGUAGCGGUGAAAUGCGUAGAGAUCGGGAGGAACACCAGUGGCGAAGGCGGCUUUCUGGACUGUAACUGACGCUGAGGCACGAAAGCGUGGGGAGAAAACAGG